ACAGCAGUAGCCGCGGGAAUACAGAGGGUGCGAGCGUUAAUCGGAUUUACUGGGCGUAAAGCGUGCGUAGGCGGCUUCUUAAGUCGGAUGUGAAAUCCCUGAGCUUAACUUAGGAAUUGCAUUCGAUACUGGGAAGCUAGAGUAUGGGAGAGGAUGGUAGAAUUCCAGGUGUAGCGGUGAAAUGCGUAGAGAUCUGGAGGAAUACCGAUGGCGAAGGCAGCCAUCUGGCCUAAUACUGACGCUGAGGUACGAAAGCGUGGGGAGCAAACAGGAUUAGAUACCCCAGUAGUCCCUGUCUCUUAUAC
rnacentral:rRNA from 1 species